UGGACCUAGCCGCUGCGUCGUUGCUGCUGCUGUACCGGGAUCGAUAUCGCGAUGCCGCUGCCCCGCGCACACCGCCGUCGCUGCCGGGAGGUGCUGCCUCCGGUCAGCCCCCGAUUCCGCCCCGAUUUCCUCCCCGAAGUUCACGGAAGAGGAAUAUCUACUCACGGAGGAGGAAAAUCUGCGUAGAAUAUUUAAUUAAAGAUAUUUUAUUUUAAUUAGUUUAGUUUAAUUCACAACCCAUUGUAUUUUAUAUUAAAUUGUGCAGUCCGCAACUUAUUUAUCACGGACUGGAUUUUUAUAACAUUUAUUUAAUUUAUCGGAUCCAACACAGAAUUGAGUCCAAUAGAUAUUCUUCACGGACAGGAAUUAAUUAAAUUCGCGCAGUCAUUUAUUUCACAAA